UCCAGACUCCUACGGGAGGCAGCAGUGGGGGAUAUUGCACAAUGGAGGAAACUCUGAUGCAGCGACGCCGCGUGAGGGAAGACGGUCUUCGGAUUGUAAACCUCUGUCUUUGGGGAAGAAAAUGACGGUACCCAAAGAGGAAGCUCCGGCUAACUACGUGCCAGCAGCCGCGGUAAUACGGAGGAUGCGAGCGUUAUCCGGAUUUAUUGGGUUUAAAGGGUGCGCAGGCGGGAGAUCAAGUCAGCGGUAAAAUGUCGGAGCUCAACCCCGGCCGGCCGUUGAAACUGGUUUUCUAGAGUUGGAGAGAAGUAUGCGGAAUUCGUGGUGUAGCGGUGAAAUGCAUAGAUAUCACGAAGAACUCCGAUUGCGAAGGCAGCAUACCGGCUCCAUACUGACGCUGAGGCACGAAAGCGUGGGGAUCGAACAGGAUUAGAUACCCCCGUAC
rnacentral:rRNA from 1 species